CCGAGUUUACAACUCCCAAACCCCAAUGUGAACGCUACCACACCGUUGCCUCGGCGGGAUCGCCCCGGGCGCGUCGCAGCCCCGGAGCAAGGCGCCCGCCGGAGGACCAAUAAACCUCUGUAUUUAUGUAUUUUACUUCUGAGCUUUCUCGGCGCUCCCAGCGAGCGUUCCGAAAAUGAAUCA
rnacentral:misc_RNA from 1 species